rnacentral:rRNA from 1 species
CCCUUAGAUGUUCUGGGCUGCACGCGCGCUACACUGAAGCGUUCAACGAGUAUUCACCUUGCCCGGGAGGGUUGGGUAAUCUUUUGAAAACGCUUCGUGAUGGGGAUAGAUUAUUGCAAUUAUUAAUCUUCAACGAGGAAUUCCUAGUAAGUGCGAGUCAUCAGCUUGCGCUGACUACGUCCCUGCCCCUUGUACACACCGCCCGUCGCUGCCCGGAACUGAGCCGUUUCGAGAAAGCUGGGGACUGACGGCUUGUGGGUGCGCAAGCACUUCUUGCCGACGGAAACCAGUUUAAUCGGUAUGGCUUGAACCGGGCAAAAGUCGUAACA